UCGUUCAGAUGUUUUGCCAUUGGCUUUUUGGCGAUACAGAGCUCUUGCAUUUGUUAUGAGCGCUUUCACCUACAAAUUGACUUGGCAUGAAUAGCACAAAGUGCCAACAGACAGACA